rnacentral:lncRNA from 10 species
CACCAUUGAUCUCCACUGAUUUACAAGAAUAAUAAUGUGAAACCAAUGAAAACAUGAUGGCAUGCAGCACAGACGGAAGAAAAAAUUGUUUCUCAACUGAACUCGUAUAUCAGCUGUUUCCUGCAG